UACAGAGGGCUCAAGCGUUGUUCGGAUUCAUUGGGCGUAAAGGGUGCGUAGGUGGCGCUGUAAGUCGGGUGUGAAAUUUCGGAGCUUAACUCCGAAACUGCAUUCGAUACUGCGGUGCUUGAGGACUGGAGAGGAGACUGGAAUUCAUGGUGUAGCAGUGAAAUGCGUAGAGAUCAUGAGGAAGACCAGUGGCGAAGGCGGGUCUCUGGACAGUUCCUGACGCUGAGGCACGAAGGCCAGGGGAGCAAACGGG
rnacentral:rRNA from 1 species